AUUGAACGCUGGCGGCAGGCCUAACACAUGCAAGUCGAGCGGAUGAAGGGAGCUUGCUCCUGGAUUCAGCGGCGGACGGGUGAGUAAUGCCUAGGAAUCUGCCUGGUAGUGGGGGAUAACGUCCGGAAACGGGCGCUAAUACCGCAUACGUCCUGAGGGAGAAAGUGGGGGAUCUUCGGACCUCACGCUAUCAGAUGAGCCUAGGUCGGAUUAGCUAGUUGGUGGGGUAAAGGCCUACCAAGGCGACGAUCCGUAACUGGUCUGAGAGGAUGAUCAGUCACACUGGAACUGAGACACGGUCCAGACUCCUACGGGAGGCAGCAGUGGGGAAUAUUGGACAAUGGGCGAAAGCCUGAUCCAGCCAUGCCGCGUGUGUGAAGAAGGUCUUCGGAUUGUAAAGCACUUUAAGUUGGGAGGAAGGGCAGUAAGUUAAUACCUUGCUGUUGUGACGUUACCAACAGAAUAAGCACCGGCUAACUUCG
rnacentral:rRNA from 1 species